UCUCAGGCAAAAAUACAAGCAUACAGUAAGAGCUAAAUAACUUUGUACCAUUUACAAAGAAUGAAAGAUGAAAUCGCAAAAAUCAUCAGACUACCAAGAAUACUAAAGAACCAACCAAGUCCUGGUACGUCUUGUCCUGGAACUUUAACAUUCAUACCCCAUAAACCGGUAACCAAGUUCAACGGAAUUAGAAUUGUACCCAAGAUAGUCAAACGUGAUAAGACUUCAUUUGUUUCAUUCGAAACAAGUGUCAUAUUAAUAGAAAUCUGAGCCAAAUAAUUUGAAUGACUUCGAGAUAAAAUUUUUUCGUAAUGGUUCAAAUUUUGAACCAUAGUGACUAUGUGAUCCUGCACAUCACCAAGAUAUAAAGCAAUUUCACCUCUAGGAGCUACUUGCCAUGACUCGUUGCAUCGUUUGGAAAGACCUCUAACAACAUCUGCCUUAUUGGCAAGCAAACGUAGCAAACUCAUGAUCAGCUUGCGGCAUUCACCAACGCGCUGCAACAUUCUCUCUUGAGGCUUCACUUCCAUUACGUGAUCAUAAUGGAUACUCAAAAUCAUGGAAUCAAUUGUGUCGACUUCAUCUUCAAUUUGCUCAAUGAAUGGAGCGAAAGCAUCUGUAGUAUCGUCCAGCAAUGCAUAUGCGAUCCAAUCUGCAUUCACUGUCAGAUAACCAUUCAGUUGACGAAUCCUUCGACGAACAUUAGCUGGAUGCGGUGUCGGGUUCAUAUGAAAAGUAAUUAUACCGUCACGAAAGACGACUAGAUAAAAAUUCAACGGCUUUAGGUACUCAGAGUUUGAGGGUAAUUGGUUGAAUGAACGGAAGGUAACAAAGUAAUACGUUCUAAAAAGCUCGACUUUUUCACGAUCCUCUUCGAGAGUAAUAUCUUCAACGGUUAAAGGAUGGAUUCCAAAAGCCUUUGCCAGAACUCGAAUUUCUUCUUCCUUUGGACAAGAGACAUCUAGCCACCAAGUUCCUCCAGAAUGGAAAAGGUCCUCAAAGCUUUGGCCAUCGUGAACGAGUUCCCACAUUUCAUGUGAAUGGAUAGUAGAAGGAAGCUCAUCGGUAAAGAAUGUAAAUCGAUAUGGUUUUUCAAUUUCUGACUUACGAAAUUGAGCCCAACGAUCACGAACACGAUAACGGCCAUUUACAAGUAACGGUUCACUCAACUUCCUAUUUCUUUCACGACGCUUAUCAACAUCUUCUACCGAAUAUUCUUCAAAAUUGGCAACCAUCUUUUUGGUCCAUUCAUCAAGGACAGAAAACUUUGGUUCUUGAGCAUUGUUUGGAGAUAUGGGUAAAUACAACUCAUCCCGAGAUAACUUUCGAGUAGCCGGAUGAUCAUCAACAGCACUCUCAGUCACGUCGUUGUUUGCAAACUGUUCAUAGUGACUAUCAUGAGAAUUAGCUGAUUUAGGGUAGACAUGGGGGGAUGAAAUAGCAAAGUCACUGACCUCAGCAAGUGGACUAGGUUGAUCUCUUGUAUUCUUCCCAUUUUCCGUCUCAAAUUCUUUCCUUUGAAUGUCCUCUGGAUGGCUUUCCGGCAGUGAUAUAUUUUCGAUGUCUUCAUCGCUUUCAUAGUGACGGUGUGGACUUUUCGGGGAAGAACAAACAGAACUAGGCAUUGAAGGAGGGUUAUUAAUAUCCUUGUCAUCUUCCCCAUUACUUGAAUGCUCAGACGGUGGUUCUAAUAGAUCACUAUCACUGUUUCCCAAUAAUCUUGUUCCCUCAUCCGCUUCGUCUGGUUGCAAACUAGGGUCCACUGGAAAUCGAUGUUUAGAUUUACUCGAGUGUUUACGAUCAGAAAAUCUAGGCCUGUUCUGCAUCCUAGCAUUUUGUUUGUAAUAAAAGCCCGUAGGCACUGACCGGGAUGUAUUGGAUGGCAUAAUUCAAACAGGAUUAUGGAUGCUAAGAAUUGACAGGUUGUAUAGCAAUGAAUGUAUUAUUCUUGGUUUAUCAAAAUAGUUAUAAUGCCAAAGAGAUCGAAUAGCGUUUGGUUUAACAAACUAACGGUUUGUGGAUUAUUUAUAUAAUUACUCUAUUGGUGAGAAAGAGAGGAUUUCUGCCCACAUUUGAUUGAGAGGUUUGAAUUUAUUAAAAAUAUUUAAAGAAUAAUUUCACAAAACUCAAACAACAGAGGAAAUGCCAAUUUUUAGAGAUGUGUUGUUGAGGUGUGGCAGCUAAGACGCUUAUCAUUG
rnacentral:lncRNA from 1 species